UUUAAGUGCAACCAUGAGUUUCCGCGUCCAACUUUAAUCGUCCGUCUUAUUUUUUUUAUAAUUAGUAUUUUUGUUGUUAUGAGAUGAUAAAACAUGAAUAGUACUUUACUCAUAACUUAUGUUUUUAAUUUUUUUUAAAAAAAUUCAAAUGAGACGGACGAUCAAAGUUGGGCGUGAAAAAUCAUAGCUGCACUUAAA
rfam:Oryza glumipatula chromosome 1, whole genome shotgun sequence.